UAAGGAAUAUUGGACAAUGGAGGCAACUCUGAUCCAGCCAUGCCGCGUGAAGGAAUAAGGCCCUAUGGGUUGUAAACUUCUUUUAGACGGGACAAAACCCCUUUACGUGUAAAGGGUUGAUGGUACUGUCAGAAUAAGCAUCGGCUAACUUCGUGCCAGCAGCCGCGGUAAUACGAAGGAUGCAAGCGUUAUCCGGAAUUAUUGGGUUUAAAGGGUGCGUAGGCGGACUAAUAAGUCAGUGGUGAAAGCCUGCAGCUUAACUGCAGAAUUGCCAUUGAUACUGUUAGUCUCGAGUACAGUUGAGGUAGGCGGAAUGUGUCAUGUAGCGGUGAAAUGCUUAGAUAUGACACAGAACACCGAUUGCGAAGGCAGCUUGCUAAGCUGUAACUGACGCUGAGGCACGAAAGCGUGGGGAGCAAACA
rnacentral:rRNA from 1 species